UACGGAGGGAGCUAGCGUUGUUCGGAAUUACUGGGCGUAAAGCGCGCGUAGGCGGCUUUGUAAGUUAGAGGUGAAAGCCCGGGGCUCAACCCCGGAACUGCCUUUAAGACUGCAUCGCUUGAAUCCGGGAGAGGUGAGUGGAAUUCCGAGUGUAGAGGUGAAAUUCGUAGAUAUUCGGAAGAACACCAGUGGCGAAGGCGGCUCACUGGACCGGCAUUGACGCUGAGGGUGCGAAAGCGUGGGGAGCAAACAGG
rnacentral:rRNA from 1 species